GACUAUUACAUGGAACUAGAUGAGCUAGAUGAAGAACAGGACCGCAACAUUUUUACAGAUGAUCAAGAAGCAACCACAAGUGUGUCAAGGGAAGAACAGAAAGAGCAGAACUCAGAAACACCAGAACUGUCAGAAGAGGAGACUGGUAACGA